rnacentral:rRNA from 1 species
AGUUGGUGGAGUGAUUUGUCUGGUUAAUUCCGAUAACGAACGAGACUCUGUCCUGCUAAAUAGUCGCGCUCCCCUUCGCUGGGGCGCGAAUUCUUCUUAGAGGGACUGGCGGCGUCUAGCCGCACGAGAUUGAGCAAUAACAGGU